CCAGACUCCUACGGGAGGCAGCAGUGAGGAAUAUUGGUCAAUGGGCUUACGCCUGAACCAGCCAAGUCGCGUGAGGGAAGACUGCCCUAUGGGUUGUAAACCUCUUUUGUCAGGGAGCAACGCCGGCUACGUGUAGCCGGACUGAGAGUACCUGAAGAAAAAGCAUCGGCUAACUCCGUGCCAGCAGCCGCGGUAAUACGGAGGAUGCGAGCGUUAUCCGGAUUUACUGGGUGUAAAGGGCGUGCAGCCGGGCUGACAAGUCAGAUGUGAAAUCCGCGGGCUUAACCCGCGAACUGCAUUUGAAACUAUUGGUCUUGAGUGCCGGAGAGGUAAUCGGAAUUCCUUGUGUAGCGGUGAAAUGCGUAGAUAUAAGGAAGAGCACCAGUGGCGAAGGCGGAUUACUGGACGGUAACUGACGGUGAGGCGCGAAAGCGUGGGGAGCAAACAGGAUUAGAUACCCUCGUA
rnacentral:rRNA from 1 species